GGGGAGGAGAGGAGGGGAGGAGAGGAGAGGAGGAGAGGAGGAGAGGAGAUGAGGAGAUGAGGAGAGGAGGGGAGGAGAUGAGGAGAGGAGGAGGGGAGGAGAGAGGAGGAUUCCAAAGCUUCGUUACACCUUUGGUCUUUUUAUAGCAGCGUUGAGCGUCAGAAUGGGUUUUCAGACACUAACGACCCGCUGCCAAGCGAGCCGAGCGACCGGAGAGAAUUUAGAACCCUCUGGUGUUCCCUUCUGUGAGUUUGAGUCGAGCAUUUCUGUUUCUCAUUGAGCCCGAGAGAGACACAGAAAUACACACACACACACACACACACACACACACACACACACACACACACACACACACACACACACACACACACACACACACACACACACACACACACACACACACACACACACACACACACACACACACACACACCUACAAGCUGAGCUCUAUUAGUAUUUGAUCCUGCAGGCAGACAGAGAGCUAGUUAGGCUCCUCUCUGUCUCUGUCUCCUGCUAGAUGAGCUGUGUACUUGUGUGUGUGUGUGUGUGUGUGUGUGUACAUGUGUGUGUGUGUGUGAAUGUUAACUGGAGAACAGCUACCUGGGUAGUAUGUUGUUUUUAUGAGCAGAAAUCCACAGGAAGGUGGUUUUAAUUCAACCGAAGAGAGAAUCUGACCCACAUCCACCUGAUAAUACAGUUAAAUCAGUGUUCUACUUUAUGAGUUAUUUUAACUGGAGAGACGAGUUUCUGUGAAGAUGGAUGUUGGUAAUAUGAUAUUUUUAAAAAAUGACGCAUUGGAGGCUAGACAAGUUCACUCUUCAUCAUUUUUGACUUGCAAGGUCUCCAUUUUAGUCUCAGCUGUGAUGCUGGUCGAAAAAGUUUCACAAAAAAGUGAAAUAAAACAUUUUGUUCAGAGUGAGAUUAAAGGUGACCGAAGGAGGGGGGGGGGGGAAGAGUGAGAGAUAACAGAGGAGAGGAAGAGGGAGAGAUAACAGAAGAAACGAAGAGGGAGAGAUAACAGAAGAGAGGAGAGAGGUAACAGAACAGAGGAUAGAGAGAGAGGUAACAGAAGAGAGGAGAGAGGUAGGAGUAGAGAGCAGGAGAGAGGUAACAGAAGAGAGAGAGAGACAACAGAAGAGAGGAGGAGAGAGGUAAUAGUAGAGAGGAUAGAGAGACAACAGAAGAAAGGAGGAGAGAGGUAACAGAAGAGAGGAGAGAGAGAGACAACAGAAGAAAGGAGGAGAGAGGUAAUAGUAGAGAGGAUAGAGAGACAACAGAAGAAAGGAGGAGAGAGGUAACAGAAGAGAGGAGAGAGAGAGACAACAGAAGAGAGGAGGAGAGAGGUAAUAGUAGAGAGGAUAGAGAGACAACAGAAGAAAGGAGGAGAGAGGUAACAGAAGAGAGGAGAGAGAGAGACAACAGAAGAGAGGAGGAGAGAGGUAAUAGUAGAGAGGAUAGAGAGAUAACAGAAGAAAGGAGGAGAGAGGUAACAGAAGAGAGGAGAGAGAGAUAACAGAAGAGAGGAGAAGAGAGGUAACAGAAGAGAGGAUAGAGAGGUAAUAGUAGAGAGGAUAGAGAGGUAACAGAAGAGAGGAGAGAGAGAUAACAGAAGAGAGGAGAAGAGAGGUAACAGAAGAGAGGAGAGAGAGAUAACAGAAGAGAGGAGAGAGAGGUAACAGAAGAGAGGAGAGAGAGAUAACAGAAGAGAGGAGAGAGAGAUAACAGAAGAGAGGAGAAGAGAGUAUGUUUCUAGUCGUAGUUAGCUUGUUGGUGACCUCCUUCCAAAUACUUUUUGCACAUGUAAGGAAGUUAAAACGUAUUUUUUUCCCCCAGACACAGACUAUUUGCUUCCCAAAUGGCACCCUUUUCCCUAUGUAGUACACUUGUUUUGACCGGGACCAUACGGCUCCUGUCAAACGUAGUGCACUGUGUAGAGAAUACGAUGCCAUUUUGGGAGCGUGGAAACUGUCCCCCUCUGCUCAUUCUCUUUGACUUUUCUCCUCCCGUGUUAACAUAUCCAGUGGUUUACUGUGCUCCUCCCAUAUCCAGUGGUUUACUGUGCUCCUCCCAUAUCCAGUGGUUUACUGUGCUCCUCCCAUAUCCUGUGGUUUACUGUGCUCCUCCCAUAUCCAGUGGUUUACUGUGCUCCUCCCAUAUCCAGUGGUUUACUGUGCUCCUCCCAUAUCCAGUGGUUUACUGUGCUCCUCCCAUAUCCAGUGGUUUACUGUGCUCCUCCCAUAUCCAGUGGUUUACUGUGCUCCUCCCAUAUCCUGUGGUUUACUGUGCUCCUCCCAUAUCCAGUGGUUUACUGUGCUCCUCCCAUAUCCAGUGGUUUACUGUGCUCCUCCCAUAUCCAGUGGUUUACUGUGCUCCUCCCAUAUCCAGUGGUUUACUGUGCUCCUCCCAUAUCCAGUGGUUUACUGUGCUCCUCCCUCCCAUGUUAACAUGUCCAGUGGUCUCAAGCCUACAGUAGACAGAGGGGUGUUCGACUCUGGUGAGAUAUAAUGGGUGAUGAUUUCGAUGCAAGGUGAUCGAUAAAUUAUAAUGCGAUUUUUUUUGAGCGCUUGGAACAUUAUUGAAUAUAUUUUCUGUCCUAGUUUUUUGUCCGUAACUCACGUUGAAUUCCCCACAUUCUGAAAUUCUUUAUUUAGAAAACAUUUAUAGAAUUGUUUUUUCCCCCGGUGUAAGAAAUUAAUAUCUACUUUAUUUGAAUUCAUUAAUUAAUGAAUUAAUUAGAUAUUACAUAUAACAGAUUCAGAUAAAUAUUCCUUUCCUGUCUAAGCCACGUUCCCUGUAACAGAUCCUGUAGAGGCUGAUGGCAACAUAGUUGGGUCCCUUUUUUUAUAUUGUAUUUCUAUGUUUUCCAUCUAUCAGUUUUCCAGAGACCUUGUGAAACACGCAGCGUACUCAUAUCAGUAGGACAAUGACUGUCUGCGGGAGCAGCUACCAGUAGAGCCCUCAAAAACCGGUAGAGGAGACAGGACUGGCCCCUCCUGCACCUCGCUGGCAGAACAUGUUAUUGGACCCCCUCUUGGUUGGGGGGGGGGGCCCCUUACCGGCCUCGGGCCCUAAGCAUCUGCUUGUAUGUCUCUUAUUGGCUGGCAAGACAGAUCAGACAUGCAGGACGGAGGUUUUUGCUGUCGACCAAAGGGUUUUGAGAGAAACAAAGGAGUGUACAAAACAUGGACUUAAACAGAAACUGUCAAGAGGAAAAACUGGAAAGCUAAGCAACCUCUGGAAAAAGAGUACAAAGUUAAAGAACAAACAAAACGGUUUUUUUUUUGUACAGAGAUAUAUUUUUAUGGAAAUACAUUUGUAAUAUGAAAAGAGGAGAAAUGGAUUGACAUAUGUGUAAAUGUUUUUUUUUCUUUGUUAUUGUAGUACAGAUUCUAGUGGGG
rnacentral:lncRNA from 1 species